rnacentral:rRNA from 1 species
UACGUAGGAGGCAAGCGUUGUCCGGAAUCACUGGGUGUAAAGGGUGUGCAGGCGGGGAGGAAAGGCAAUGGUGAAAUCUCACAGCUCAACUGUGAAACUGCCAUUGAUACUGCUUUUCUUGAGUUUGGGAGAGGGUGGUGGAAUUCUUGGUGUAGCGGUGAAAUGCGUAGAUAUCAAGAAGAACACCAGUGGCGAAGGCGGCCACCUGGCCCAUAACUGACGCUCAUGCACGAAAGCGUGGGGAUCAAACAGG